UUGCAACCUUGAACCCGCGCCUCUCGACUCAACAGUCAUUGGCGUUUGGCGCGGGUUCAAGAUUGGCAUCGUUCAAAGCCCUAAAGAUUCACUUAAACCCUCAACCUGACUGUAAGCAGCAGCCAGCCGAUGGUAGCAUCGUUCAAAGCCAACAUAAGAAGAGGAACAAACCGUAGCUACACCGGGCUAUAGCAGCGUCGUUUAACGGUAACUUGCUAGAAGAAGAAGAAGAAGAAGAAUGGGCAAAAUCCCACCUUCAUUUAAAACAGCCAGACUCCCUGUAACUACUCUACUUAGAAACCCCCGGUCUAUACCUCCCCAUGAAUCUUCUUCCCCGUCUGUAACUCCAACUCCCCAUCCCCACCAUUUCCCAUCCACAAAGAAAACUGCCAACAAGAAAAAACAUUCAUCCUCUCGUCAGAAAACUGACCCAUCAUCUCAAAACCCUAGUCCCAUGAUCUUCAAAUCCCCAAACCUCUCCGACGCCAAACAGACCUUCAACUCCAUCCUCUCCACCUCCCCGGCCUCACUAGAUCUCCGCUUCCACAAUGCCCUCCUCCAAUCCUACUCCCAGAUCUCCACCCCGCGCGACUCUCUUUCUUUCCUGCGCCACAUGAUCGCUAAACAACCCUCCUUCUCCCCGAAUCGAUCGACCUACCAUAUCCUUCUCUCCCUGUCCUGCAAGUAUCCCUCCGACGACCUCUCCCCUGUCCUCGAAACCCUUGACCUAAUGGUACAAAAGGGUUUCCCUCCAGACCACGUCUCUCUCGACCUCGCCGUCCGAUCACUCUGCUCCAUCGGUCGCGAAGACGAGGCUGUUGAGUUGGUCAAGGAGUUAUCCGUUAAAUACGCUCCACCUGACUCUUUCACCUACAAUUUCCUUGUUAGGCAUCUCUGCAAGACUAGGGUUUUAAGCACCGUUUACAAUUUCAUCGAUGAUAUGCGAAAUUCGGUAAAUUUGAAACCCGAUGUCGUUACUUACACUAUCUUAAUCGAUUCAGUUUGUAAACGCAAAAACCUCCGAGAGGCCACUCGAUUGCUCGGAGUCCUCGACGACGAGGGAUUUAAGCCGGAUUGCUUUCUUUAUAACACAAUAAUGAAGGGUCACUGUUUGUUGGAUCGUGGGAGCGAGGUGAUUGCGGUUUAUAAGAAGAUGAAGGAGAAUGGGGUAGAACCUGAUCUUGUGACGUAUAAUACUUUGAUUUUUGGGUUAUCGAAGGAUGGGAGGGUGGAUGAAGCUAGGAAAUACUUAGAUAUUAUGGCUGAAAUGGGGCAUUUCCCUGAUACGGUUACUUACACAUCACUGAUGAAUGGCAUGUGCCGGAAGGGAGAUGCAUUAGGAGCACUGGAGCUGUUGGAGGAGAUGGAAGAGAAGGGCUGUAGUCCAAAUUCAUGUACGUAUAGUACAUUGCUCCAAGGGUUGUGCAAGUCACGGUUGUUGGAGAAAGGGUUGGAAUUGUAUAAGAUGAUGAAAUCGGGCGGAAUGAAACUUGAGGCAGCUUCUUAUGCUACGCUUGUGAGGGCACUGUGUAGGGACAACAAGAUUGCAGAAGCUUAUGAGGUGUUUGAUUAUGCGGUGCAGAGUAAGAGUCUCACAGAUGUUGUAGCAUAUUCCACAUUAGAGAGUACCCUCAAGUGGCUAAAGAAAUUCAAAGGACCAGAAUUUGCUUCUUAGCUUAUUCUACAAAUACGGUAAUUUUGUUUGUUUCCAUUCUCUACCCGUUUCAAUCUCCUUUUUUCACUUUGUCUUGAUGAGAGGUUACUUCAUGCUGAAUUUUGAUAUCUGAUAAUCCAUUCUCGUAAUCCUGUUCAUGCAUGGGUUGUCCUAGUUAUUUUAACUUCCAAAGACAAGAUGCAGUAUUGCUUAUGAUUUUUUUAUAAACUAUAUUUAACAAAUUAUGGGAUUGUCUAAGGUCUUGCUUUUUUUUUCUCCAUUGUAAAGGGAGUAGAAGUUGUUUUUCUUUCCGAAUAAAAAAUAUAUAUACAAAGGAAGUGGUGUACAAUACUUAGUAUGUCUCAUCCUUUAGACGGUGGAAGGAUGUAAGAGGGUAACAUUGUUUUCAGGAAUGAUUUCAUUAUUCCAAAUUUCUUCCCAUUCACUGUUUCGAGGAAAUGAAGUACAGUUGCUUGAAAGGGGCGAAGAUACUGCUUUGCCAAUGAUACCUCUCUCUCUGCAUUUGGUUUUUUUCCUUUUCCUUUUUUUAAUCAUUGAUCUAAACUCAAAUAUAUGGUAUCUAGCAAUGUUUUUUUUUUCAAAUAACCUUUGAUUAUGCAUGUGAUUUAUGAGUUCAGCACCAUUACUGAGGCGGCUCUUAAUUGUUGGACCACCAAAGCUUUCGCCACCUUUAAGGUAACGAAGUUUUCAAGUCCAGGCAGAUUUUGCCGCCUGCAUUUGCCUAUUGAGAAUCUGCAACACAUCCCUUGGCUAAGCUGAUCCAUUUUGAACCAUCUCAAACGUUGGGGCAAUCUGUAUUAAACUGAAGCCCAACAAUUACCAAAGAUAAUUGAAUCCAAGGGGCAUUUGGAGUCAGCAGACUUGUGAGGGAACUUCUUUGGGGACAGUUGGGAGUGUCAACUAUUCCAUUCCCCACUAAUAAACCGUCAGUUGACAGAAAAUAUUAGACGAUUUUUAAUUUUUUGAAAAAAGUCUAUUUUAUC